GUUGGUUUUGCAUACUCUUAUCGUUAAUUAUUGUUGUUGGUGCAGUCGAUGACUAUCGACCCCAACUGUCAUAAGGUAAUUUGGUGUGGGGGGAGAUGGAAGGUAAUGGAAGAUAGGGAAGAGUGUAGGAGCAGUUUUGAAUGCUGCCUGCUCAACAACAAUCCUCAAUGAAAAAUCUGGUUGAGAGUGUGUUUCUACUUGGUAAAAUGUAUCAUCGAUCUCUUCUUCUUACAUUAAACUUUGAUUUGUUACAAGAUUGUAAAUACAUUGCCACUCUUGUAGGAUAA